UGUCUUUACCUCUCAACUGAACCCUGAACUCCUGGAGAAUAGAUGCUGUCGGGAAAUCACCAGCUUCUCACAAAGCAAUGAUCGUUGAAUAAAUCCUUGUUAAAUAAUGACAGUUUUCCUUUUUGGAUUGCUGUGAUCUCUACUCCCAUCACGACUGCUAAGCCUUGGGCAGGAGACCUUGUAUUCCCAGCCAGCUAUUCUUCCCACCGCCAU
rnacentral:lncRNA from 1 species